rnacentral:rRNA from 1 species
UACGGAGGGUGCAAGCGUUAUCCGAAUUCACUGGGUUUAAAGGGUGCGUAGGAGGGCAGGUAAGUCAGUGGUGAAAUCUUCGAGCUUAACUCGGAAACUGCCGUUGAUACUAUCUGUCUUGAAUACCGUGGAGGUGAGCGGAAUAUGUCAUGUAGCGGUGAAAUGCUUAGAUAUGACAUAGAACACCAAUUGCGAAGGCAGCUCGCUACACGAAUAUUGACUCUGAGGCACGAAAGCGUGGGGAUCAAACAGG